rnacentral:rRNA from 1 species
AAGACUGGGAUAACUUCGGGAAACCGGAGCUAAUACCGGAUAAUAUUUUGAACCGCAUGGUUCAAAAGUGAAAGACGGUCUUGCUGUCACUUAUAGAUGGAUCCGCGCUGCAUUAGCUAGUUGGUAAGGUAACGGCUUACCAAGGCAACGAUGCAUAGCCGACCUGAGAGGGUGAUCGGCCACACUGGAACUGAGACACGGUCCAGACUCCUACGGGAGGCAGCAGUAGGGAAUCUUCCGCAAUGGGCGAAAGCCUGACGGAGCAACGCCGCGUGAGUGAUGAAGGUCUUCGGAUCGUAAAACUCUGUUAUUAGGGAAGAACAUAUGUGUAAGUAACUGUGCACAUCUUGACGGUACCUAAUCAGAAAGCCACGGCUAACUACGUGCCAGCAGCCGCGGUAAUACGUAGGUGGCAAGCGUUAUCCGGAAUUAUUGGGCGUAAAGCGCGCGUAGGCGGUUUUUUAAGUCUGAUGUGAAAGCCCACGGCUCAACCGUGGAGGGUCAUUGGAAACUGGAAAACUUGAGUGCAGAAGAGGAAAGUGGAAUUCCAUGUGUAGCGGUGAAAUGCGCAGAGAUAUGGAGGAACACCAGUGGCGAAGGCGACUUUCUGGUCUGUAACUGACGCUGAUGUGCGAAAGCGUGGGGAUCAAACAGGAUUAGAUACCCUGGUAGUCCACGCCGUAAACGAUGAGUGCUAAGUGUUAGGGGGUUUCCGCCCCUUAGUGCUGCAGCUAACGCAUUAAGCACUCCGCCUGGGGAGUACGACCGCAAGGUUGAAACUCAAAGGAAUUGACGGGGGCCCGCACAAGCGGUGGAGC